UACGUAGGCAGCAAGCGUUGUUCGGAGUUACUGGGCGUAAAGGGUGUGUAGGCGGUCUUCUAAGUUUGGUGUGAAAUCUCCCGGCUCAACUGGGAGGGUGCGCCGAAAACUGGGAGGCUAGAGUGCGGGAUGGGAGAGUGGAAUUCCUGGUGUAGCGGUGAAAUGCGUAGAUAUCAGGAGGAACACCUGUGGUGUAGACGGCUCUCUGGACCGCAACUGACGCUGAGACAUGAAAGCGUGGGUAGCAAACAGG
rnacentral:rRNA from 1 species